rnacentral:rRNA from 1 species
CUACGCACUCCUACGGGAGGCAGCAUGGGGAAUAUUGCACAAUGGGCGCAAGCCUGAUGCAGCCAUGCCGCGUGUAUGAAGAAGGCCUUCGGGUUGUAAAGUACUUUCAGCAGUGAGGAAGGUGGGUAUGUUAAUAGCAUAUUCAUUUGACGUUAGCUGCAGAAGAAGCACCGGCUAACUCCGUGCCAGCAGCCGCGGUAAUACGGAGGGUGCGAGCGUUAAUCGGAAUUACUGGGCGUAAAGCGCAUGCAGGUGGUUUGUUAAGUCAGAUGUGAAAGCCCGGGGCUCAACCUCGGAAUUGCAUUUGAAACUGGCAAACUAGAGUACUGUAGAGGGGGUAGAAUUUCAGGUGUAGCGGUGAAAUGCGUAGAGAUCUGAAGGAAUACCGGUGGCGAAGGCGGCCCCCUGGACAGAUACUGACACUCAGAUGCGAAAGCGUGGGGAGCAAACAGGAUUAGAUACCCUGGUAG